ensembl:lncRNA LINC00092 long intergenic non-protein coding RNA 92
AGUCCCGCCGACCCUGCCGGCGCCUCCGCCCUCCCGCCCUCCCGCCCUCGGUUUCCCACGACCUCGGCGCGACGCGCGCGGGAUCCAGUGGAGACUGCUUUCCCAUAGGCCGCCAUCCAGGGCGGGGAAGGGAGCGGACCCUCCCGGCUCCAGAGAAAAGCAGCCUGAUUCGGAGGAACGGGUUGCUUGGGGCGGCUCCCAGCUCGAGUUGUGGGCCCCGCCGCGGGUGCCCUUCGGAAACGCGCUGACACCAGGCGAAGCCGCCUCUGCCCGGACGCAGCCCGACACUUGGCCCGCGGGGUUCCCCGGGACGCCUGAGAGUAAUGGGCGCGAGGGGGAAAGCCGAACGGCCUCCCUGUGCCCGGCGCAGGCGGUGCCCCCUAGCUGGGUUCGCCGCGGCGGCGCUGCGAGCCCCCGACACUGAGGACUUUUGGUCCAACAGUCCGACGGGGCCCGGUGCGCCGUUCCCUCCGCCCUCUCCCCGCUCCCCGGCCCGCGCGUCUUGGAGGGUGGGUGAAUUGUCGGAAGCACUCUACGCCUGGCCAACCCAAACCAGGAACCUCCGCACCAAACAGCCCACGUUGCUGCUGCUCUGGGGUUUUAACGGCCAAGGGAGACUGGAGAAGGGGUGUUCUGCCUUCCCAUUCUCUUAGGCCCGUCCACUCCCCAUCCCCACAGUUUGGAAGUGGCCUUUUCUGAGGACUCCAGCGCAAAGCAUGUUUCUCCUUUUGAGCUGCGGAAGCCUUGCUUGUUCCCGCCAUUGGGAGGGCAUUCCAUCAUCUGCAGCUGCCUUCCUCGGUGGGCCUUGUCCCUUAGCGUCCACCUAGGGGACAUUCUAAGCUUCUUGAGACCUGCUUGUCCACCCCAACAUGUCUCAGCAUAUGGCUGUGCCCUAAGGGGUCUUUGAGGGCAUUUUAGGAGGUGAGCGGCGCCCCUACCUGGGCUCCGCGGGGCCGAUUCGGUUUGCCCUUUGCUGGCAUGUCAGUGAAUUAACUGCUGUCCUUGGGAUGACCUGCCCUAUGAUUUGGCCUCUGGAGCAUCCCGGGUGUGUAUUUCAGAACUCCUCCCAUCUUAUCCACCUGCUGAAGGCCUGGCCCCCUGAUAUGGUUUGGCUCUGUUUCCCCACCCAAAUCUCACCUUGAAUUUUAAUAAUCCCCACGUGUCAUGGGCGGGACCAGGUGGAGGUAAUUGAAUCAUGGAGGUGGUUUCCUGAACGCUGCUCUCGUGACAGUGAGUUCACAAGAUUUUUUUUUUUAACGGAGUAUCACUCUGUCACUCAGGCUGGAGUGCAGUGGCGCGAUCUUGGUUCACUGCAACCUCUGCCUCCCGGGUUCAAGAGAUUCUCCUGCCUCAGCCUCCCGAGUAGCUGGGAUUACAGGUGCGCGCCAUCACGCCCGGCUAAUGUGUAUUUUUAGUAGAGAAAGGGUUUCACCAUGUUGGUUAGGCUGGUCUGGAACUCCUGACCUUGUGAUCUGCCUGCCUCGGCCUCCCAAAGUGCUGGGAUUACACGCGUGAGCCACUGUGCCCAGCCGAUCUGAUGCUUUUAUAAAGGGCUUUCCCCGUCCCCCUUCCUCUCUCUCACCACCCUGUGAGAAAGGUGCCUUUCUUCCCCCUUCACGUGAACUGCCUCCAUGAUUGUAAGCUUCCUGAGGCCUCCCCAGCUAUAAGGAACUGUGAGCCAAUUAAACUGCUUUAUAAAUUAACCCA